GGCUUGGUGGUGUAAAGGUAUCACGCCGCAUACGCUUGGUGGGACCAAGAUACAUAAACGUUCUUGCGGAGGUUCUCUGUUCGAUUCGGGGCUAAGCCA